UGUUUAGUUUGAUCAUAUAGUUUGAUCAUGCAGUAUAGUUUGAUCAUGUAGUAUAGUCAACUACAGUAUAUCUCAGUGGUUCAUAGAUCAGAGUGUUUAUGAAUGAAGACCUAACUAUUAUUUAGGUCAUUGUGUCUGACAUGAUACAGACUUCCAAAAAACGUAAUAUAAAGUUUGGGCUCCCGUGUGGCGCAGUGGUCUAAGGCACUGCAUCUCAGUGCAAGAGGCAUGGCUAAAGUCCCUGGUUCAAAUCCAGGCUGUACCACAUCUAACUGAUCAUUGUAAAUAAGAAUUUGUUCUUAACUGACUUGCCUAGUUAAAUAAAGGUAAAAAAAAAUAUUUAAAAAAAAUAUAUAUGAAAACAGAAGUAAAUAGCCAUACAUGCAGCAACUAAAAGAAGUCAGUGAGAAAAGACCAAGCACGUAAUGGGUUAAAGAAAUUGAUUUGGUCCUAAACAGAAGAACCACAACUAGCUCCUGACAAGCUCAAAGUUCCUCCCAGGUAGACGUCAAAAGGAGAUGUCUCUCCAUGCACUCAGACAGCGAACCUCGGAACAUGGGGCAGACGCAUUGUGACAACUACAGAGGAUACCGCCAGAUCGCAGUAGGAACUAGGUUCUUCAGUGCAACACCGGGUUGUUCUCUGCUGCAAAACAUCAUUUCACCAAGACAAUGUGUAAUGGCAUUAUGACAUUGCUGCUUGGGUAAAUAUAUAUAUAUACAUAUCUUUUUUUUAAGCAGAUGCAAAGCGGCUAUAAGGCUGGACUUAUUGUUUCAAUCAAGACACUGGAUACAGUCACUGGAAAUGUAUUUGGGCAGAAUUCUCUGUUUUUCCCCGGAUAGAAAAUAGCUUCAGACCAUUAAACCCAGUUAAGUCAGAGCACUGUGGUGACUGCUUGCCCGACGUGCACGGAGAGGAUGGAUUCACCGUCUGUUCCCAACUAACGGAGAGAGCCUAGCCUACUGCAUUGAGAAAAAGCUGAUGGCAGUAAUGGCAUCCUCUUGUCACAUUGCGAAGGGGAUUUCAUCGCCAUUCAUCCUAAAUAAAGUCUGAGAGCAGAUAGUAACCAUGAACACACUAAGAGCAGUCCUGUUCAUGUUCCUCCUAUAUUAUGUGUGGUGCAGGAAAACCAAACAGCAGCUCCAAGCAGCAGCAGAGACAGAGCUGAUAGAGUGGGGGGAGGGGGACCAUGAGGAGGAGUUCUCCCCCAGCGGAGCCGGGGCCAGUCCCAGAGUCCUCAACCCCCUGAGGCUAUUCGCUAGGGGGGUCCCUGGAGCCGUCGGGCCAUCCAGCCUUAAACACAACCCCAUCAGGGACAUGACAUACCUAGAGAGCAUGGAGGACUUCUGGGAUUGGUUAUCCAACCAGACAGAUGUUCAGGCCAGCCUGGCCAGAACCAAGCGACGACCCAUCAUCAAGACAGGCAAGUUCAAGAAGAUGUUUGGCUGGGGAGACUUCCAUUCCAACAUUAAGACCAUCAAGCUUAACCUGCUGAUCACCGGGAAGAUCGUGGACCACGGUAACGGAACGUUCAGUGUCUACUUCCGCCAUAACUCCACCGGCCUGGGGAACGUGUCGGUGAGUCUGGUGCCGCCGUCUAAAGUGGUGGAGUUUGAGAUGGCUCAGCAGUCCACACUGGAGACAAAAGACUCUAAAGCUUUCAACUGUCGUAUCGAGUAUGAGAAGACGGACCGCAACAAGAAGACGGCUCUGUGCAGCUUCGACUCCUCCAAGGUGUGUUACCAGGAACAGACACAGAGCCACGUCUCCUGGCUCUGCUCCAAGCCCUUUAAAGUCAUCUGCAUCUACAUCGCCUUCUACAGCGUGGACUACAAACUGGUGCAGAAGGUCUGCCCGGACUACAACUACCAUAGUGACACUCCCUACUCCUCCACUGGCUGAAGGUCUGCUGGACUACAACUACCAUAAUGACAUUCCCUACUCUUCCACUGGCUGAAGGUCUGCCGGACUACAACUACCAUAAUGACACUCCCUACUCCUCCACUGGCUGAAGGUCUGCCGGACUACAACUACCAUAAUGACACUCCCUACUCUUCCACUGUCUGAAGGUCUGCUGGACUACAACUACCAUAAUGACACUCCCUACUCCUCCACAGGCUGAAGGUCUGCUGGACUACAACUACCAUAAUGACACUCCCUACUCCUCCACUGACUGAAGGUCUGCUGGACUACAACUACCAUAAUGACACUCCCUAAGGUCUGCUGGACUACAACUACCAUAAUGACACUCCCUACUCUUCCACUGGCUGAAGGUCUGCUGGACUACAACUACCAUAAUGACACUCCCUACUCCUCCACUGGCUGAAGGUCUGCUGGACUACAACUACCAUAAUGACACUCCCUACUCCUCCACUGGCUGAAGGUCUGCUGGACUACAACUACCAUAAUGACACUCCCUACUCUUCCACUGGCUGAAGGUCUGCUGGACUACAACUACCAUAAUGACACUCCCUACUCUUCCACUGGCUGAAGGUCUGCUGGACUACAACUACCAUAAUGACACUCCCUACUCUUCCACUGGCUGAAGGUCUGCCGGACUACAACUACCAUAAUGACACUCCCUACUCCUCCACAGGCUGAAGGUCUGCUGGACUACAACUACCAUAAUGACACUCCCUACUCCUCCACUGACUGAAGGUCUGCUGGACUACAACUACCAUAAUGACACUCCCUAAGGUCUGCUGGACUACAACUACCAUAAUGACACUCCCUACUCUUCCACUGGCUGAAGGUCUGCUGGACUACAACUACCAUAAUGACACUCCCUACUCCUCCACUGGCUGAAGGUCUGCUGGACUACAACUACCAUAAUGACACUCCCUACUCCUCCACUGGCUGAAGGUCUGCUGGACUACAACUACCAUAAUGACACUCCCUACUCUUCCACUGGCUGAAGGUCUGCUGGACUACAACUACCAUAAUGACACUCCCUACUCUUCCACUGGCUGAAGGUCUGCUGGACUACAACUACCAUAAUGACACUCCCUACUCUUCCACUGGCUGAAGGUCUGCUGGACUACAACUACCAUAAUGACACUCCCUAAGGUCUGCUGGACUACAACUACCAUAAUGACACUCCCUACUCCUCCACUGGCUGAUCCCGUCUGUACCUGGAUCUCCCAUAGAGUUAGUUUGACCAAAGUAUGACCAACCCUGGUUCUGUUCCAGUUGACGGUAGACCGUUGGGGCCAACUGUUCUGUUAGUUUGACCACAAUAUGACCUACCAGUCUGUUAGUUUGACCACAAUAUGGCCAACCAGUCUGUUAGUUUGACCACAAUAUGGCCAACCAGUCUGUUAGUUUGACCACAAUAUGGCCAACCAGUCUGUUAGUUUGACCACAAUAUGGCCAACCAGUCUGUUAGUUUGACCACAAUAUGGCCAACCAGUCUGUUAGUUUGACCACAAUAUGGCCUACCAGUCUGUUAGUUUGACCACAAUAUGGCCUACCAGUCUGUUAGUUUGACCACAAUAUGGCCUACCAGUCUGUUAGUUUGACCACAAUAUGGCCAACCAGUCUGUUAGUUUGACCACAAUAUGGCCUACCAGUCUGUUAGUUUGUCCACAAUAUGACCAAUCCUGGUUCGAUUGGCCUAACCAGUCCUUCUGUUCCUCCUCAUCACCACAAUGUGUUCUCAGUAAAUCCCAGUCCUUUAGAACAGUCCAGAUGUGUGGUAUUGGGGUAGACCAUAGACUCUCACCACUCUAUGACACCCUGCAGACCUGUACAACAAUGUUAACGUCAAAUCACAUUUUAUUGGUCACAUAUACAGUUGAAGUCAGAAGUUUACCUACACCUUAGCCAAAUACAUUUAAACUCAGUUUUUCACAAUUCCUGACAUUUACCUCCAAGUAAAAAUUCCCUGUUUUAGGUCAGUUAGGAUCACCAGUUUAUUUUAAGAAUGUGAAAUGUCAGAAUAAUAGUAGAGAGAAUGAUUUAUUUCAGCUUUCAUUUCUUUCAUCACAUUCCCAGUGGGUCAGAAGUUUACAUACACUCAAUUAGUAUUUGGUAGCAUUGCCUUUAAAUAGUUUAACUUGGGUCAAACGUUUCGGGUAGCCUUCCAUAAGUUGGGUGAAUUUUGGCCGAUUCCUCCUGACAGAGCUGGUGUAACUGAGUCAGGUUUGUAGGCCUCCUUGCUCGCACACACUUUUUUUUUUACACCUCCAAUUGACUCAAAUUAUGUCAAUUAGCCUAUCAGAAGCUUCUAAAGCCAUGACGUCAUUUUCUGGAAUUUUCCAAGCUGUUUAAUGGCACAGUCAACUUAGUGUAUGUAAACUUCUGACCCACUGGAAUUGUGAUACAGUGAAUUAUAAGUGAAAUAAUCUGUCUGUCAACAAUUGUUGGAAAAAUGACUUGUGUCAUGCACAAAGUAGAUGUCCUAACCGACUUGCCAAAACUAUAGUUUGUUAAAACUUCUUAUGGCUGCAAUCCCGUUAACGGGAUGAUAUGACAACAGCCAGUGAAAGUGCAGGGCGCCAAAUUCAAACAACAGAAAUCUCAUAAUUAAAAUUCCUCAAACAUACAUGUAUUUUAUAUCAUUUUAAAGGUAAUCUUGUUGUUAAUCCCACCAAAGUGUCCGAUUUUCAAAUAGGCUUUUCAGCGAAGCACCACAAACAAUUAUGUUAGGUCACCAUGAACUCACAGAAAAAUUCAGCCAUUUUUCCAGCCAAAGAGAGGAGUCACAAAAAGCACAAAUAGAGAUAAAAUUAAUCACUAACCUUUGAUGAUCUUCAUCAGAUGACACUCAUAGGACUUCAUAUUACACAGUACAUAUAUGUUUUGUUCGAUUAAGUUCAUAUUUAUAUCCAAAAACCUCCGUUUACAUUGGCGCCAUGUUCAGAAAUGCCUCCAAAAUAUCCGGAGAAAUUGCAGAGAGCCACGUCAAAUAACAGAAAUACUCAUCAUAAACUUUGAUGAAAGAUACAUGUUUUACAUAGAAUUAAAGAUACACUUGUUCUUAAUGCAACCGCUGUGUCAGAUUUCAAAAAGCUUUACGGCAAAAGCACAAUAUUCAAUAAUCUGAGAACAGCGUUCAGCCACAAAAGGAAGCCAUACAGUUACCCGCUAAAUUGUGCAGUCAACAAAACUCAUAAAAAGCAUUAUAAAUCUUCACUUUGGUGAUCUUCGUCGGAAUGCACUCCCAGGACUCCCACUUCCACAAGAAAUGUUUGGUUUUUUCGGUAAUGUCCAUUUUGUAGCGCGUUUGGUAAACAAAUCCAACGUCAGGGAAGCACUUUCACUAAAACCUGACGAGGUGUCCAAAAGUUCCGUAACAGUCCGUAGAAACAUGUCAAACGAUGUAUUGAAUCAAUCUUUAGAAUGUUUUUAACAUAAAUCUUGAAUAACGUUCCAACUGGAGAAUUACAUUGACUCCAGAUGAGCGAUGGAACAGAGCUCCCUCUCAUGUGAACGCGCAUGGUCAAAGAAUGGUCAGGUCAUGGCAGACCUGACUAAUUUCCCUCUCAUUCGGCCCCCCUUCACAGUAGAGGCAUCAGACAAGGUUCUACAGACUGUUGACAUCUAGUGGAAGCCGUAGGAAGUCAUCCAUAUCUCGCUGUGAUUUCAAUGGGAUCUUGGUUGAAAAUCGACCAGCCUCAGAAUUUCCACUUCCUGUUUAGAUUUUUUCUCAGGUUUUUGCCUGCCAUAUGAGUUCUGUUAUACUCACAGACAUAAUUCAAACAGUUUUAGAAACUUCAGAGUGUUUUCUAUCCAAUACUAAUAAUAAUAUGCAUAUAUUAGCAACUAUGACUGAGGAGCAGGCCGUUUACUCUGGGCACCUCUGUGCACCUUUCAUCCAAGCUACUCAAUACUGCCCCUGCAGCCAUAAAAAGUUAACAAGAAAUUUGUGGAGUGGUUGAAAAACGAGUUUUAAUGACUCCGACCUAAGUGUAUGUAAACUUCCGACUUCAACUGUAUAUAACAACAGGAGUUAUAGAACAGGUGUCUGAUAACAAUAGAAGAUACAGGACAGAUAUACACUACAGUUCAAAAGUUUGGGUCACUUAGAAAUAUUCUUGUUUUUGAAAGAAAAGCACAUUUUUAUUUGUCCAUUAAAAUAACAUCAAAUUGAUCAGAAAUACAGUGUAGACAUUAAUGUUUUAAAUGACCAUUGGAGCUGGAAACGGCAGAUUUUUAAUGGAACAGAAUAUCUAUAGCCGUACAGAGGCCCAUUAUCAGCAACCAUCACUCCUGUGUUCCAAUGGCACAUUGUGUUAGCUAAUCCAAGUUUAUCAUUUUAAAAGGCUAAUUGAUCAUUAGAAAACCCUUUUGCAAUUAUGUUAGCACAGCUGAAUACUUUUGUGCUGAUUAAAGAAGCAAUAAAACUGGCCUUUAGACUAGUUGAGUAUCUGGAGCAUCAGCAUUUGUGGGUUCGAUUAGAGGCUCAAAAUGGCCAGAAACAAAGAAAUUUCUUCUGAAACUCGUCAGUUUAUUCUCGUUCUGAGAAAUGAAGGCUAUUCCAUGCGAGAAAUUGCCAAGAAACUGAAGAUCUCGUACAAUGCUGUUUCCUACUCCCUUUCACAGAACAGCGCAAACUGUUUCUAACCAGAAUAGAAAGAGGAGUGGGAGGCCCCACUGAGCAAGAGGACAAGUACAUCAGUGUGUCUAGUUUGAGAAACAGACAGUUGAGGACUUGUGAGAUGUCUGUUUCUCAAACUAGACACGCUAAUGUACUCCAUUAACAUUUGUUAGAGAGGGGGAAUGAUCAUUUACUAUGUGACGGAGGAAACUAAAUGCUCCAAGUUAAAAUACUUAUUUUCUGGAAUGAUAACAUGCCAGUGAUCAUGGAGAUAAACUGGAGAUAUUGUGAGAUAUGACAGGAGGUGUGUGGGGUAGUCCUGAUGUUACAUGUCUGCUCUUAAGGACACACAUGCCCUUGAGAGUUAUUUCCCCAAACUCUCAAAACACUGACAAUAAUAAAGACAGACGGUACGCUGUCCGCUGCAGUUGCUUUCCCUCUUCACACACUAGACUGCCUCCUCCUAGGCAGAAGGAUAAAGGCUUUCCCUCUUCACACACUAGACUACCUCCUCCUAGGCAGAAGGAUAAAGGCUUUCCCUCUUCACACACUAGACUGCCUCCUCCUAGGCAGAAGGAUAAAGGCUUUCCCUCUUCACACACUAGACUGCCUCCUCCUAGGCAGAAGGAUAAAGGCUUUCCCUCUUCACACACUAGACUGCCUCCUCCUAGGCAGAAGGAUAAAGGCUUCCCUCUUCACACACUAGACUGCCUCCUAGGCAGAAGGAUAAAGGCUCUGGGAUUCAAUGUUCUCAAAUGUCCAAAACUGAAGGAAAAUCUUCAAUAUAGUGUUUUGUUUCAUAACAGAUGUUUAGAAUGGGCAGAACCAGAGCAUUAGGAUUCUCAUAGUUCCAUGGUGAAAUAUAGGUGUCUAGGCUGCUAGGGCAUGUGCCUUUCACCUCAUGUAAUGUACAGUGCCUUUCAAAAGUAUUCAGACCCCUUCGAUUUCUUCACAUUUUAUUGUGUUACAAAGUGAGAUUAAAAUGUAUUUCAUUGUCAACAAUCUACUCAAAACAGUCUGUCAAAGUGUAAUAAAAAUGUGAUAACUAAAUAUAUGUUAAUUGCAUAAGUAUUCAGCCCAUUUGUUUUGGCCUAAAUUAGUUCAGGAGUAAAAUCUGACUUAAUAAAUCACAUUAGAAAUGAUAUGGACUCACUCUGUGUGAAAUAAUAGGGGUUGACAUGAUUUGUGAAUGACUAACCCGUCCUCUGUCCCUCAAACAUACAUCUGUCCCUUCGUCAACUAUUGAAUUUCAAGCACAACUACAAAGACCAGGGAGCUUUUGGAAAGCCUCAUAAAGAACCACAGUGAUUGGCAGAUGGGUAAAAAAUAACUAAUCAGACAUUGACUAUCUCUUUAAACAUGGUCAUGUUAAUUAUUAUGCUGUGGAUGAUGUAUUAAACCACCCAGACACGUCAAAGAUGCAGUUGGCCUUCUGAACUGAGCUACAGGAGUGAAACUGCUCAGGGAUGUUACCAUGAGGCCAUUGGUGAGUUUCAAACAGUUAGAGUUCAAUGGCUGUGAUGAGAGAAAUGAUGAACAGAAAAUAAGAAUACAGAAAUAAAAAAUAUUCCAAAACAUGCAUCUUGUUUCAAGGUACUAAAGUAAUAAUGCAACAAAAAAAACAAGGCAAAGGAAUAAAUUGUUUGGCCUAAAUACAAAUCCAACACUGAGUAACUGCCUCCUUAUUUUCAAACAUGGUGGUGUCUGCAUUAUGUUAUGGGUAUGCUUGUCUUUGGCAAGGACAAGGGAGUUUUUAGGAUAAAAAUAAAUGGAAUAGAGCUAAGCACAGGCAAAAUCCUAGAGGAAAACCUGCUUCGGUCUGCUUUCCACCAGACACUGGGAGAGAAAUUAACCUUUCAGCAGGACAAUAACCUAAAACACAAGGCCAAAUCUACACUGGAGUUGCUUACCAAGAAGCCAGUGAAUAUUCCAGAGUGGCCAAGUUACAGUUUUGACCUUAUUCUGCUUAAAAAUCAAUGGCAAGACUUGAAGUAUUAGGAAAAGAAUAAUGGGCACAAUUAUUAUUGCACAAUUCAGGUGUGUGGAGCUCUUGGAGACUGACCCAGAAAGUGAGAAGUAGAGGGUGUGGCAGGGGCAGAUGUAACAGAAAGACUCACAGCUGUAAUCACUGCCAUAUGUGUUUCUAGCAUGUGUUGAUUCAUGGAGCUUAAAAAUAAGUCUUUCACUUUGACUUUACAGAAUAUUUUGUGUUGACUGCUGACAAAAAAAAAUACAAUUUUAAUCCCACUUUGUAAAAAUAAAAUGUUUAGAAAUCCAAGGGUUAUGAGUACUUUUGCAAGGCACUGUAUGUCAAUCACUGGAGUCAAAGACAUGUUGGUUGAGUCUUAAAAAUUGUAAAUUAAACUCUUAACAUUAUACAAAUGACAAUAACUGUAUUAUAAUGAGCAAACUAAAUCUAACUUAAUCUGUGUUAAUAUUUUAGUUCUAAUCCUUUGUGCAAUGCAAAGUGUGUUCCGUAUUUGUGUGUCUCGGUAAAGAUACAAUAUAUGUGUUUACAUAUGGCCUAACAAUAAAUUAUGUCCAUUUUUUUUAUAUUUUCCAUAAAUAUAGAUGUGAAUUGUUCCUUAGUUUGUGUUUGGCAGCAAUAUCAAGUAGACGUAGCCACAUGUUCAUUGCUAUUUACUGCGGAGAUGACAUUAUUAGGCUAUUAUUUAUGUGUCGCUUGCUUCAUCUUGUUUCUAGUUAUUGUUAUGUAAGAUAGACAAUAGGAUUUAUUUUAUGUGCAUAGUGUAAGUCAAAUGUUAAAUAUUUACUUUAAGGGAUUGUUUUAUAAAAAAUUACAAUAAAAUCUAUUUAGGUUUUUAUGACAUUAAACAUGAACUUAGCAC